UACAGAGGGUACGAGCGUUGUCCGGAAUCACUGGGCGUAAAGGGCGCGUAGGUGGCGCGACAAGUCAGUGGUGAAAGUUCGACGCUUAACGUCGAAUCGGCCACUGAUACUGUUGGGCUUGAGCACUGUAGAGGCUAAUGGAAUUCCGGGUGUAGCGGUGGAAUGCGUAGAGAUCCGGAAGAACACCGGUGGCGAAGGCGGUUAGCUGGGCAGUUGCUGACACUGAGGCGCGACAGCGUGGGGAGCAAACAGG
rnacentral:rRNA from 1 species